rnacentral:misc_RNA from 1 species
GAUGAAGAACGUAGCGAAAUGCGAUAAGUAAUGUGAAUUGCAGAAUUCAGUGAAUCAUCGAAUCUUUGAACGCACAUUGCGCCCCCUGGUAUUCCGGGGGGCAUGCCUGUCCGAGCGUCAUUACAACCCUCAAGCUCAGCUUGGUGUUGGGCCCCGCCGCCCCGGCGGGCCCUAAAGUCAGUGGCGGUGUCGUCCGGCUCCGAGCGUAGUAAUUCUUCUCGCUCUGGAGGUCCGGUCGUGUGCUUGCCAGCAACCCCCAAUUUUUUUCAGGUUGACCUCGGAUCAGGUAGGGAUACCCGCUGAACUUAAGCAUAUCAAUAAGCGGAGGA